rnacentral:rRNA from 1 species
AUACGGAGGAUGCGAGCGUUAUCCGGAUUUAUUGGGUUUAAAGGGUGCGUAGGCGGACGAUUAAGUCAGCUGUGAAAUGCCCGCGCUUAACGCGGGAAGUGCAGUUGAUACUGGUUGUCUGGAGUGCCGUUGCCGUGGGGGGAAUGUGUAGUGUAGCGGUGAAAUGCAUAGAUAUUACACAGAACGCCGAUUGUGAAGACACCUCACGAAGCGGUAACUGACGCUGAGGCACGAAAGCGUGGGGAUCGAACGGGAUUAGAUACCCUGGUAGUCCACGCAGUAAACGAUGAUAACUAACCGUCGGCGAUAGAAUGUCGGUGGCCAAGCGAAAGCGAUAAGUUAUCCACCUGGGGAGUACGUUCGCAAGAAUGAAACUCAAAUGAAUUGGCGGGG